rnacentral:rRNA from 13 species
CAACAACACAUGUUGUUCCCUGGUGGUCAUCCUCCCAAGUACUGACCGCGCCCGAUGCUGCUUAACGGCGAUGAUCAGACGAGAACCCGUGCUUUCAGCAUGGUAUGGCCGUU